ensembl:lncRNA
GAGAACCGUCCUUUCCUAAAAUCUGCAGCUCAUGGUGAGUAAGCUCAAUUCUUACUGAAAUCUUCCCAACACAUGGAGGGGCACCCCUGCCGGCCAGGUGCCACCACGCACUCCUUCACAGCAGAACGCUCAUCAGAACCCCUUAGAAAGUUUGAGCGUUUGUUGGCGGGCUGUUCCAAACAGCCUCAUUACUUCCUGCCCAGGGUCACAGCAUAACUGAGUUACUGGAAAUCUGGGGCCAGUUUGGUAAUUUUAUGAUAAAGUUGAGAAAUAAAAUUACCAAACCCGAAAAGACAGCUGAAUAAGUUGUGUACGAGAGAAGGAGUUUAAUCCUGUGGCCUUUGCCGGCAGGGUCCCCUGCUUCUGCAGGAGAGCAGGCCUGCAGUCAGCUGCCAGGGUCUCGAUGGGCUCCAGGAGAGCUGGCCGCGCUGUCUCUUGUUUCCAGUGUGUCAGGGAGCCUCAGUUUAGCAUCGGUUCUAUGGGCUGAAAGGGAGAGUCCAGGUAUGUUUUGUUUCCCAGUCAGCAUUUAGGAGAAACGCUUGUUUCUUGCUGUAUUUCCUGCCUGUGACAAAUCAGGAUAGCCUCAGAACUGUCAGUUACACCAGAAGAAGCGUUUUUGUGUGUGUUUUAGGUCUGCGGAUAAGUUCAGUUCAGUGUGUAAGUCUACUGAGCAGUGAUUGUAUUAACUGAAGGGAGACAUUUUUUUCUUUUUGAAAGCAAAUAGGUGAUUUGAAAGAGCCAGACGAACAGCUUUAGUAUUUACUCAACAGAUAGGGAGGGGAAAAUUUAAAUAUGGCUAAAGAAAGAUCUUGGGCCUUAAAAGGCAUUGCCCUUGUUUAUAUAUAAUCUGAAGUUGGGUUAAAUUGGGUAUAAUUAAGAACACUCACCAUUUGGCUCUGUGGAAAAAGAGGUGUGGGUGUGUGGGGUGAUGGGUAAUAUAAUGGUUACGGUGAUUUGUAUAUGUGUGUGUAUAUGCACAUGGAGAAAUACAAAUAUAUAUACAUAUACACACUCAGUUAUCUCUGUGUGUGUGUGUAUGCACGUAGAGAAAUACAAAUAUAUAUACAUAUACACACUCAGUUAUCUCUGUGUGUGUGUAUAUGCACGUAGAGAAAUACAAAUAUAUAUGCAUAUACACACUCAGUUAUCUCUGUGUGUGUAUAUGCACGUAGAGAAAUACUAAUAUAUAUGCAUAUACACACUCAGUUAUCUCUGUGUGUGUGUAUAUGCACGUAGAGAAAUACUAAUAUAUAUACAUAUACACACUCAGUUAUCUCUGUGUGUGUAUAUGCACAUAGAGAAAUACAAAUGCAUAUACA